rnacentral:rRNA from 1 species
UGGGGAAUUUUGGACAAUGGGGGCAACCCUGAUCCAGCCAUGCCGCGUGAGUGAAGAAGGCCUUCGGGUUGUAAAGCUCUUUCGGCCGGGAAGAAAUCGCAUCUCCUAAUACGGGGUGUGGAUGACGGUACCGGACUAAGAAGCACCGGCUAACUACGUGC